rnacentral:rRNA from 1 species
UACGGAGGGGACAAGCGUUAUUCGGAAUCACUGGGCGUAAAGGACGCGUAGGCGGGUUAUUAAGUCGGGUGUGAAAUCCAAUGGCUCAACCAUUGAACUGCAUUCGAAACUGAUAACCUAGAGUAUGGAAGGGGCAGGUGGAAUUAGUGGUGUAGGGGUAAAAUCCGUAGAUAUCACUAGGAAUACCGAAAGCGAAGGCGACCUGCUGGGACAUUACUGACGCUGAGGCGUGAAAGCGUGGGGAGCAAACAGGAUUAGAUACCCUGGUAGUCCACGCCCUAAACGAUGAAUGCUAGUCGUCGGGGAGCUCGUCUCUUCGGUGAUGCACUUAACAGAUUAAGCAUUCCGCCUGGGGAGUACGGUCGCAAGAUUAAAACUCAAAGGGAAUAGACGGGGACCCGCACAAGUGGUGGAGCAUGUGGUUUAAUUCGAAGAUACGCGAAGAACCUUACCUAGCCUUGACAUUGAUAGAAUCUUCCAGAGAUGGAGGAGUGCCUUUCGGGGAACUUGAAAACAGGUGCUGCACGGCUGUCGUCAGCUCGUGUCGUGAGAUGUUGGGUUAAGUCCCGCAACGAGCGCAACCCUCGUCGUUAGUUGCUAACAGGUUAAGCUGAGCACUCUAGCGAGACUGCCUUCGCAAGGAGGAGGAAGGUGAGGACGACGUCAAGUCAUCAUGGCCCUUAUGGCUAGGGCAUACACACGUGCUACAAUGGGGCGUACAGAGAGUUUGCGAUACCGCGAGGUGGAGCCAAUCUCAUAAAGCGUCUCUCAGUUCGGAUUGUUCUCUGCAACUCGAGAACAUGAAGCUGGAAUCACUAGUAAUUCGUAGAUCAGCAAUGCUACGGUGAAUACGUUCCCGGGUCUGCACACACCGCCCGUCGCGAAAUAAAGUCGUGGUGUGGUCGGCGU